GUUACUGUAGCUUAACACACUUAAAGCCUGACCCUGAAGCUGUCAAGAUGGACGCACGUUCCAGAAACA
rnacentral:tRNA from 1 species